rnacentral:lncRNA from 1 species
AGCUGCGAAGAUGGCGGAGUAAGGCGUGCCGCUGCAAACUGGCCUCUGGGCCGGGGGCGAGCAGCCCCCGGGAGGCCGAGUGCAUCUGUUGGACCGUGCGAGGAGAAGAAAAAAAAUAUCGGCCAGAGGAGAGGAACUAACCGAACAUUCUUCCUCCCUACCUUAUAGAGGGGAGUGGUCAUCUACACUAAAGCAAAGUGUUAGGCGCGUCCGUGCGAAGAGACCACCAAACAGGCUUUGUGUUCCUUAUCACAGGAAGAAAAUUUUCCUUGACCUUUAGGUGCUUUUAUAUUCAUCUCAAAAACAAAAUUCUGAACUCAGGACUUGGCAAACGGAGUCACGUUCUGUUGCCUGGGCUGGAGUGCACUGAUGCAAUCUUGGCUCACUGAAAUCUCUGCCUCCCAGGAGAAUUGCUUGAAUCCGGGAGGCGGAGGUUGCAGUGAACUGAGAUUGCACCACUGCACUCCAGCCUGGGCGACAGAGUGAGACUCCGUCUCAGAAAAAUAAAAAACAACUUUGGACAUAGAGGAGUUGGGGGCAGAGGGGGGAGGAUGAGAGAAUUUUCCAUGUAACUCCUUUUCCUUAAGAAAAAGAAGCAAAAAUCCCUCAUGCAGUGCCAUCUGACUUUAUGGUGUUUCACAUUAUAUAGUUACUUUUUUUAAUAAACGCAUAAGAUUAACUCUUCCUGCAACCCAAGGUGGAUACUUGGAUGUUUGAUUUUUAUUUAUUUAUUUAUUUAUUUUUUGAGGCAGUCUCUCUCUGUUGCCCAGGCUGGAGUGAUGCGUGAUUUCUGCUCACUGCAGUCUCUCCCACCCGGGUUCAAGCGAUUCUCCUGCCUCAGCCUCCCAAGUAGCUAGGAUUACAGGCGCGCACCACCACGCUCAGCCUGAUUUCUAGGCUGAAAAGGCUGGGACUCAGGUACUUUCCCCAGUUGGGACUGAACUUUCUCAUCAGAGAAUGGGCCUCAGAAGCAAUGUUCCCAAACUUGUGGUUGGGUCAUCGUGGAAAAGAAACCUCAAAUAAGAAAAAUAAUUACAAUAAGAAAUGGAUUUUCUUUUUUCCCACAACAGUUAUACAUUAUAAAGAACAGACUGUCGUAGAAAACUGUCUUUGCUUCCAAAUCAGCAGAGGACCAUUGUAUGUAUUGUCAGGUCUUUAUAUAAGAGUGAAACCUUUAUUUAUGCUUCUUGUGAGUAGAGAAUAAAUUUUAAAACUAAUUAGAUGAAAUUAA